GCAGACACAUUCCAGCCAAUCAGCAGCAGACCCUCCCUCCCAGACCCUCCCACCUCCUGGACAGCAUCCAUUGUGAAGCUGCAUUCUUAGUGAGCUGUCCAGGAGGUGGGAGGGUCUGGGAGGGAGGGCCUGCUGCUGAUUGGCUGGAAUGUGUCUG